CUGGUUGAUCCUGCCAGUAGUCAUAUGCUUGUCUUAAAAAUUAAGCCAUGCAAGUCUAAGUAUAAACGAAUUUAAACAGUAAGACUGCAGAAGGCUCAUUAUAUCAGUUAUUGUCUAGGCGAUGAACUUUUACUACAUGGAUAACUGUAGUAAUUCUAGAGCUAAUACAUGCCUUAAAACAUUUCUUUCGGAAUGUGGCCUUAUUAGACACAAAAGCCAGCCCGUUUUUCGGAGCCUUGGUGAUUCAUAAUAAUGAUACCCAAUCGUACUUUGUGCGAAACAUCGCUAGAAUUUCUGCCCUAUCAGCUUUGGAUAGUAGUGUAGUGGACUACCAUGGCUUUUACGGGUGACGGGGAAUUAGGGUUCGAUUCCGGAGAGGGAGCCUGAGAAACGGCUACCACUUCUAUGGAAGGCAGCAGGCGUGCAAAUUACCCAAUCCCAAAAUGGGGAGGUAGUGACAAGAAAUAACAAUAGUGGACCCUCACGGGUUUGCUAAUUGGAAUGGGUUUGGUGCAAAAGUCCUUUCGAGGAACAAUCGGAGGACAAGUCUGGUGCCA
rnacentral:rRNA from 1 species